AACGAACGCUGGCGGCAUGCCUAACACAUGCAAGUCGAACGAGACCUUCGGGCCUAGGGGCGCACGGGGGCGUACGGAGGGGGAAGCUGCCCUUAGGUACGGUAUAACUCCCCGAAGGGUGUGCUAAUACAGGUUAAGGUCAUAGGGGCUAAGAUUUGGCGCCGGGGGAUGGGCUCGCGGCUGAUUCGCUUGUUGGUGGGGGAGAGGCUUACCAAGGCUUCGAUGGGUAGCUGGUCUGAGAGGAUGACCGGCCACAUUGGGACUGAGAUACGGCCCAGACUCCUACGGGAGGCAGCAGUGGGGAAUAUUGCACAAUGGGCGGAAGCCUGAUGCAGCAACGCCGCGUGCGGGAUGACGGCAUUCGGGUUGUAAACCGCUUUCGCCUGUGACGAAGCGUGAGUGACGGUAAUGGGUAAAGAAGCACCGGCUAACUACGUG
rnacentral:rRNA from 1 species